UAGGGAAUUUUCGUCAAUGGGCGCAAGCCUGAACGAGCAAUGCCGCGUGAGUGAGGAAGGUCUUCGGAUCGUAAAGCUCUGUUGCAGGUCAGAAAAGAAGGG
rnacentral:rRNA from 1 species